CCAAUUGGUUGAAACCCAUCAGCCAUUAGCUCAGAAGCAAAUCCACACAUUUCCUGUCACACAUUUACCCCAGUUCUCAGAAACUGCAAAAAUAACUAUACAAGGUGUCAAAGUAGCAGCCGUGUUAGUCUGUAUUCGCAAAAAGAAAAGAG